CUCUCAGAGGACAGCCACCUCCUGCAGACACCGCGGCGUCCAGGGGGUACCCCCUCGCGCUAACACAAGUGAGAGGAACCAUGCAAAGGGAUAAGGGUACGAUGAAGAACAAAAGAAAUGUGUUCUCUCAAAGACUAUGCUACAGGUCAGUCGUGAGGGCUAUUAGAGAGUGAGCAGCUUCAGAGUGCUCUUGUGGAAGUUUCCUGAGCUCACCAGACUUGCUGUCACCUGGAACUGUCCCACUGAUUUGGUCGCAGCUGCAUCCUAGUGGAAAAGAGGAUAAUGGAACAAUAGCUGUCCCACAGACCUCAGCAACUCUCCAUUUUGCUGUGUAGCUGAAAGUGUGGGUCCCGGUCUUCAUUUGUCACAACCUCCUCACUCUGGAGAUCUGGGAAAGAACGAACGUGGAACGAGCCAGCAUGUGGUCAGUGAAAUGACCAGGAGGAGACGGUGGCUUUCUGAAUUUUCUAUAAUCACUUAGUUCUGUGUUAUUACCAGUGAGAAUGAGAGGGACCCACAGAGAGCAGUGGACUAGUAACCUUGAAAGAAUUCAAAUUCAAAUUAUAAAAAGUGCUGUUUGUCACACAUUAGGAAAGAACAUUAAUACAUCUGAACAAACCCACCUAAGAAACUUGUGUGGGAGAUAGAGAAAGAGACUCUUGGAAGGAGGAAAUGCCAGUUCAGUCUGGUUUAUAGAAACUCCAACCACAAGCUCUUUUCAAAAGGAUAUCAGGAUUCAAGCAUUACAUCAUCUAAAGAAAUUCUCAUUGGUGUUCAGACCCUGACUGGCUGGGAUCUGAUUCUCUUUAUUUAACCCUUUCUCAGCUGAGACGUUGCCCGUUCUAACUUUGGGAAUAUACUAUCCAUGUUGUUUGCAACAGCCGUUAGCAUUUGAGCAGAAAGCAUCUGAAGGGAGUUGCUUUCUAUAAACCCCUCAGCUCAGUGUAAGUUUUGUUCUUAGAGUGUCACAAAGUUAUUUCAAACGCUUUGUUGCUAUGUAAUUGCAAAAGCCACAUUCCUGGGAGAAAUGCUUCAGUGAAAGCCUUUGAAAAAUAAAGAACAUCUAGUCAUUGUAUGAUUA